GCCACCUCUAGCACCACGAGCUGUCUACGACGAGGCCUUGCCUCCAUCGCCAUGCUCACCGUAUGGCACAUCUGGCGGCACUGUAAUGGCUGCGUGUUUGACAACGACUCGCCGGCCGUAGGACGCGCCGUGAGUAUGAUCCGAGAGGAGGCUAGGUUGUGGGCCCAUGCCGGCGGUGCAGGGCUUGCCCUGCUCUUGCCUGAGAUGUAG
rnacentral:rRNA from 1 species